AUUGAACGCUGGCGGCAUGCCUUACACAUGCAAGUCGAACGGCAGCACGGGUGCUUGCACCUGGUGGCGAGUGGCGAACGGGUGAGUAAUACAUCGGAACAUGUCCUGUAGUGGGGGAUAGCCCGGCGAAAGCCGGAUUAAUACCGCAUACGAUCUACGGAUGAAAGCGGGGGACCUUCGGGCCUCGCGCUAUAGGGUUGGCUGAUGGCUGAUUAGCUAGUUGGUGGGGUAAAGGCCUACCAAGGCGACGAUCAGUAGCUGGUCUGAGAGGACGACCAGCCACACUGGGACUGUGACACGGCCCAGACUCCUACGGGAGGCAGCAGUGGGGAAUUUUGGACAAUGGGCGAAAGCCUGAUCCAGCAAUGCCGCGUGUGUGAAGAAGGCCUUCGGGUUGUAAAGCACUUUUGUCCGGAAAGAAAUCCUUGGCCCUAAUACGGUCGGGGGAUGACGGUACCGGAAGAAUAAGCACCGGCUAACUACGUG
rnacentral:rRNA from 1 species